rnacentral:rRNA from 1 species
CAUGCAAGUCGAACGGUGAAGCCAAGCUUGCUUGGUGGAUCAGUGGCGAACGGGUGAGUAACACGUGAGCAACCUGCCCUGGACUCUGGGAUAAGCGCUGGAAACGGCGUCUAAUACUGGAUAUGAGCCUCUACCGCAUGGUGGGGGUUGGAAAGAUUUUUUGGUCUGGGAUGGGCUCGCGGCCUAUCAGCUUGUUGGUGAGGUAAUGGCUCACCAAGGCGUCGACGGGUAGCCGGCCUGAGAGGGUGACCGGCCACACUGGGACUGAGACACGGCCCAGACUCCUACGGGAGGCAGCAGUGGGGAAUAUUGCACAAUGGGCGAAAGCCUGAUGCAGCAACGCCGCGUGAGGGAUGACGGCCUUCGGGUUGUAAACCUCUUUUAGCAGGGAAGAAGCGAAAGUGACGGUACCUGCAGAAAAAGCGCCGGCUAACUACGUGCCAGCAGCCGCGGUAAUACGUAGGGCGCAAGCGUUAUCCGGAAUUAUUGGGCGUAAAGAGCUCGUAGGCGGUUUGUCGCGUCUGCUGUGAAAUCCCGAGGCUCAACCUCGGGCCUGCAGUGGGUACGGGCAGACUAGAGUGCGGUAGGGGAGAUUGGAAUUCCUGGUGUAGCGGUGGAAUGCGCAGAUAUCAGGAGGAACACCGAUGGCGAAGGCAGAUCUCUGGGCCGUAACUGACGCUGAGGAGCGAAAGGGUGGGGAGCAAACAGGCUUAGAUACCCUGGUAGUCCACCCCGUAAACGUUGGGAACUAGUUGUGG